UAGUAGAGACAUGGUUUCACCAUGUUGGCCAAGCUGGUCUGGAACUCCUGACCUCAAGUGAUCUGCCCACCUCAGCCUCCCAAAGUGUUGGGAUUACAGGCAUGAGCCAUCGUGCCCGACCCAAUUAGCCUUUCUGCCUACAAAUGUCUUCAUAUAUAAGGUUCACAGACAGUGCCACUUGUCAACAGCUAAAGAGAAAUAAGAAAAGAACUUCAGAAGGGGAAACAUUCAUAAAGAGCAAGAGCACACUGAGGUGUACGGGUGAGGAAAGCGGCCAGCAAUGUUUAAAGUAUUACCUGAAUGAGAAUGCUAUUGAUCUUUGUGGUGGUGUGGGACGCCAAGAGGACAAGAGAAAUCGGAGGCAAGUCUACCUGAAAAGAGAGAAUGACACGAAUAGACUGGAAGAAAAGAGCUCCAAAAUGUCUGGAGGUGAGACACUGACAUUCAUUUUCAGCAGCCAUUCAAUCCUGAUGGACUGGAGCUUUUAGCUCUUCCCAUUAGUGAUGAAAUGGCCAGCUUAAGAUACUAGCACCUAACUGGAGGAGCAAAAUAAUGGAAGUUGCUGCCCUUUCUCUUACCCACUUAUAUUUUACACUUCUGCUUUCCCAUUCCUGUCCUAAUGGACAUGUCUAAGAGAGUUGUGAAAGGUUUCCUAGAAAAGGCACCAUGUUUAAACGAAAUUUGCCAGGCAGAGCUGAAGAAACUGUACGAGCAAAGCUUGGAAGAAGAAAAGGAAUCCUGAGUUUUAGGGGAAAGGACAAAGAGUAAGGCUUUUUUUUUUUUUUUUUUUUUUUUCUGAGAGGGAGUCUACCUCUGUCACCCAGGCUGGAGUGCAGUGGCGCGAUCUUGGCUCACUGCAACCUCUGCCUCCCAAGUUCAAGCAAUUCUCCUGUCUCAGUCUCCCGAGUAGCUGGGUCUACAGGCAUGUGCCACCACGCCUGGCUGACUUUUGUAUUUUUAGUAGAGACGGGGUUUCACCAUGUUGGCCAGGCUGGUCUCGAACUCCUGACCUCGUGAUCCACCCACCUCGGCCUCCCAAAGUGCUGGGAUUACAGGCGUGACCCACCACACCUGGCCUAACAGUAAGGCUUUAAAGAGCCUACUCAACUAAUACUGAAGACUGUUAGUAAAUAUGUGACCUAUGGAAUGAUCACACUCUAUAGAAUGAUCACACUGACUGAGAGCUCUAUAUUAUUUUGUAAUUGAAAACAUGAGUUGUUUUCAAAAGAACUUUUAAAUACCAAGAUGAUGCAAGUUUAAACCUUCCUUGUCAUGGAGAAAAUGCCCUUCCACUCCAAUAAACUAAAAGAUAAUUUUUAACUAUACAGAACAUAAUGUCUUGUUUCCACAAAAUGCUAAAUACUUUGCAAGAUUCUCCUUGCUGACUCUGAGGUGGCAGAAAGUGACAAAUAUCAUCCAAAUCUUACUGAUACAAGGAAAAUAUUUUCAGCACAAAAAAAAUCUUUGUAGCAUCAUCAUUGCUCUAAAGAAAAGCUAGAAGCCUGCCAUAAUGAUUAGCAAACUCAUAUAGAUAUCUCCAGGAAAGGAUUUACAAAAUGUCAUCACAUCCUUGUAAUCAUCUAAUUAUCAAACUCAGCAGUGUUGACAAAGCACAAGCCCACUCAGCUACUGCUAAUGAUUAUUAUUCAAAGCUACAUUUCUACCAAAUCAGAAUAACUUACAGGUAGAAGCUCAUUAGCCUUAGGAACCACCCUCCUUGAACACUCACACGCACACGCACACGCGUGACACGCAUACACACACGCGCACGCGCGCACACACACGCACACACACCCCAGCCAUAACUAGGCCUUGCUGAAUUGUCAUUUGCUUUCAUGACCCUCCUUCGUGUAUAUGAGCAGCUUUACGAAUUGGUUCAAAAAUACCCAGCCUUUCAAAAAUAAUUCCCUAUCUAGAAAAAUACCCUACAGACAUCUAUAUCUAGAGAAAUACCCUAUGGACAUUAGUUUGCUAAUGUCAUAGCAACAGUGCGGCAGGCAUCGUCAAGCUUUGGUGGCUUGAAGAAACACACUGGCAAUGCAACAAUGGGAAGGAGCUAAAACGUAAUGUAAGUGACAAUGCAACGUGAAGGAAUGGAGGCAUAAAGGCAAUGCAACAAUGGGAAGGACUGAAAGCAUAAUGCAAGCCAUGGAGGAAAAGCAUACACUCACUGAAUCUCCGCAAUCUACUUGUCACUACACCAGGUGCUAGGAAAAUGGUUACGACCCUCAAGCUGCUUGCAGUCUAUGCAAGCAGUCAGCCAGCUCCAGGAACGUGGCAUGAGAUGAAGCUUGCAGGGUCCUCAAAUGCCAUACUUAAAAGCCUUGAUUUCAUACAAAGGCAGUAGGGAAUCAACAGACAUCUUUUUGCAAGAGAUUAAAUGAUCAAAUCUGGGUUUUUUUUCAAUUAUCUCUAAUGGCAAAAUAUAAAAAUGAAUUGAGACUCAGGGAAACAGUGAGAGGCAAGGAUAUGAGUUAGAGGCCAUUUAGGUGAGAUCGGAAGGAUUUUAAUAAUAACUGGGACAGUGACAAAACAAUAUAAAAAUAAAACAAUAGAGUCAAGAGAUCUUUAAAAGCAGCAUAAGCAGGGCAUACAGAAGUUUGGGGGAAGAAUCAGAGGUAUUCCUGAUAUUCCUGGCACGGCUGGCUCAGGAGAUUGCAACGUCAAGAGAGAAGACAGCAAAGGUGGAGAAGCAGUAUGCUGUGCGGAAGAAAAGGCAGAGUUUAGGCACUGCACACGACGAAUCUGAAGUAAAACCAGGUCACAUAGAUGAAGAUUUUUGUUGGUAUAUAGAAAAUAUGGGAUGAGCUCAGAAACACAGGCAGGCAAGUAAAGCCAUGGCAGCACCAUAUUGUCAUUCAACAGGUAACCAGAGACAAAUCAGCAAAUAACUUUUAAAACAAACUGGUGAGACAGGCAGAAGGACAAUGAUGAGCAGGUUAAAAGACUUCCGAAGGUUAAACACUAUCACACCUCAAAUCUGCAUACCUUGAGAUUUAAGUGGGUAUUGUUGGUUUUGGUUUGUUUGUUUUUCGUUUUUUUGAGACCGAGUCUCGCUCUAUUACCCAGGCUGCAAUGCAGUGGCACGUUCUCGGCUCACUGCAACCUCUACCUCCCAGGCUCGAGCGAUCCUCCCACCUCAGCCUCCCAAGUAGCUGGGACCACAGGCAUGAGCCACCACAAUUUUUGUAUUUUUUGUAGAGAUGGGUUUUGUCAUGUUGCCCAGGCUGGUCUCCAACUCCUGAGCUCAAGCGAUCUGCCCACCUCGGCCUCCCAAAGGACUGGGAUUACAUGUGUGAGCCACUGCACCUGGGCAAAGUGGGUAUUGUUCCAUAAAAUCUUGGCCAAAUGGGAAACAAGAAAACCCACAGUAUAGUCACUUCUUAUUACAGAAGACUUUUGAGGCCCCCAAACAAUAUACCUUACCAACUUCUGCUCUAACCUGAAAGACCCACAGCCACUGAAUGAUUGUGAAGGAGGAAAAACAGACCCUAGGACACCAACCAGCAAGUCACACACGCCUCUGCAGAUGCUGUAUUGGCUGAAGAAAAUGCUGCCACCCAUCGGGGAAGGAAAGGAAAUUCUAUUAAGGAUAUUUUUAAUUCUGAUCCUAAUUCAGGUGAUCCUAAUUAAACAGCUCUGCAUAAACAGUGUCUUGAUAAAUUUUUCCUAUAAGCAUCAAAACGAAAACCAAAUGUCAAUCAAAACUUGAAAUAGCGCCCAUGACUGCCAAGUCUGGUCACAUGUAGCUCUAAUGCUUUUCUUUUACUUGACAAGUAUUUAUUCAAAAACAACAUUUUAAAAUUAUUUGCCUAUGUCAUUAAUAUCAAGUAUAAAUGUUAAGGUCAAAUAAAUAUCACUAAAAGAAAAAGAGGUGUUAAUAAGGCCAAAGAGUAUUUUCUUAUACACUGCAUAUAUAGUUUAUAGCAUAGAAAAUGUUUAAAUCUAUAAAUGCAUGUAUCUAUAGAAUCAUAGGGAAAAGCACACCCAAUAAUGGCUUGAAAAUGAUAAAGACUCAAUCUGGAGGGCUCCUGAAUAAUUAAUGUUUUAAUAUGCAGUACUAAAAGAUUGUAGAAUGCAGAUUUCAAAAGGUACCUUAACUCCAUGCAAAUUCCAUGUCAAUUAUCUUUAUUUUCACAUACAGUUGUGGCAACAUCAGCACAGAAUCAUUUGACAUGAAUAAUCCACCCUCCUCCCACUCAAACUACCAGCAUUUAUUUAGAUUUGAAUAUAUGAAGGACAGAGGUAUGUAAGGCAUGAUGUACCACCUGGAUAAAAAUAGCAGAAAUCCUGAUUAAAUAAUUUACAGUUUUGCCUAGAGCAAUACUUUAGUAUUAGAGAAUAUUAUCAAAUAUUCUUAUUUCCAUCAUUCUGGAUUUUGCUAAGGCUUAUAAUGGUCCAUAAUUAGGGCUCUAACAGAGAACUAAUAUAACACAGAAUGCAGUAUGGUGGAAUGCAGAAAAUAAGAACUCUGGAAUGAAGAAAGCCAUGUUAAAGCUCUGUCUCUUUUACUUAAAUAUAGUGUGACCUUACGCACUUUCUCAUCUACAAAGGCACGAUACCCAUAACUCAGAGGGCUACUAUAGAAGAUAAUGUGAAAGUACACAUUAAAGUACUUGGUAGAAUAAAAAAUUAAAACAAAGGAGUGCGGCACUAGGAAACUUGUGAUCAAUCCGCCAAUUGUCCCUUGAUCUGUUGAUGUAAGACAGGUACCAGUGUCUAAUACUCAUUUGCUUCCUGGAAAGUAUGGGCCAAAAAAUGGGAAAUACAAGACAAAUCCACAUACUCAAAUAUGUAAUACAGCAGUUCUGUUUAUAACUGAGUUAUCUGAAGGGAAGGCAGACAGCUGGUUUGGGAAGCCAAAAUCAUUUAAACACGGACAUACAGAAUCUCUGAAUUGAAACUCAUCAUUAGACAAGCUAAUCUAGUUUCAAAUGUCGAACGAUACUAUUCUGUAACUUAUUUUUAAUUUUCUGCCUUUACACAGAUAGGCUUCAAUAUAAGAAACAGAUAUUGCUGAAAGGUUGUCUGUAAUUUAACUUCUGUUUGCUGUAUCACAUUUUCACUUCAACUUAGCAGCUAAGUUCUUGAGCACUUGGGCAUCAACUAACAGAAAGGGCAUUAGACAGAACUCAGAAGACUUCAGUUCUAGCUUUCUUCCUGUCACUGGGUGACUACUUCCCCCUCUCUAAGCCACAACUGAUGUAUUCUGGAGAAAGGGAGAGGAGAAAAAAUGGGAAGGCUAUGGUAUCAGAGAGUUUCUGUGAUCUCUUCAGCCCUAAAGUUGUAUAAUUUUAUUUUGCUUAAGGAAGAAAAUGGGGACACAUGACCUAUUUUCAUGAAAUUUAUAGUCUAAGUGGGAACCUAAGAAAAAAGGACAGACAACUUAGAAAGUAGGGGAUAGUCACAGUUGUCAAAUGCUUGGCAUAGAAAAUAACAGUGACUACUGAUUUUACAAAAGGGAAAGCUCAAUCCUAACCAAGUAGAUUUCACCAAAGAUCUGAGUAGAAACCUUAAGAAUAAGCAGGACCUCAAUAGAGAGGGCGAGGGAAGAUAAACUACACCCUUCCAUGAUGCACCAGAAAUAUCACAAACUCACAAAUUCAAAGAGCAGUUUACAUAUCAUCUAGGCCUACCUUAUAGAGACAACCCAUCCUGACACGUAAUUCUAAUCCUCAGUGAAACUCUUCCAGGAAGAAGUAGCUUCCAGCUGUACCAGGACACGCUGAUACGUUGUUGGAACGCUCUGGUUAUAAAGCUCUUCUAGAUAAUAAAACAGUAUUUUUGUCCUUUCUUCAUCAUGCUUUGUAAAUAGACAUUUAUUUGAAUAUGUCUCUUUAAACAUGUAACAUUAGGUACUAAACACAGAAACUGUAAUGAAAAUCAACUUUUGAAGAUAGAAGGAAGACUCUUCCUCUUUGAUUAAGAUGCUUUAAAAGAAUCUGGUUUGGCGAAGCCAUCCCCAAACUCGCCUGCUUACCUUUAUGAUAUACCAAGUCAUCUUAUUUUCCACAUCAAAUGGCAAUGUCUGAUUUUUGCCCCUAAAAAAAACACUCUGUUUCUGCCUAUUACAAAAUUUAAUAGAGCAGUUUAUCACAGUUUUUCAUCACUCUUAAUAUUAUAUCUCUAAAACAUAUUUGUUUUUUCCUCCCAUGAAAGGUCCUUCUUAUUUGCAAUAGAAACAGCCAAAUCAUAAUUUAAAGUUUGAGGGCAAUAAUCCACAAUCUAAGAAAAAUCAAACAAAAACUUUGAACCUGAGUUACAUAACCACAAUAUUUCUAAUAGAAAAUUUUAUCUUUAUGUUUCAUUUCAAAACAAAAUAACAAAAUAUAACACCUUUAAUUAAGAACCAAAAGCAUGAUAGCACAUGUCUGUAGUCUCAGCUACUCAGGAGACUGAGGCAGGAAGAUUGCUUGAGCCCAGGAGUUUGAGGUCAGCCUGGGCAACAUACUAAGACCCUGUCUUCAUGGGUUUUUUUUUUUUUUUUUGAGAGAGUUUCACUCUUGUCGCCCAGGCUGGAGUGCAAUGGCACAAUCUCAGCUCGCUGCAACCUCCCCCUCCCAGGUUCAAGGGAGUCUCAUGCCUCAGCAUUCUGAGUAGCUGGGAUUACAGGCAUGAGCCACCACGCCCAGCUAAUUUUUGUUGUUUUGGUUUUUUUUUUUUUUUUUUUUGUAGAGACGGAGUUUCACCAUGUUGCCCAGGAUGGUCUUGAACUCCUGACCUCAGGUGAUCCACCCACCUUGGCCUCCCAAAGUGCUGGGAUUACAGGCGUGAGCCACCGUGGCUGGCCAAGACCCUGUCUUUUAAAAAAUUAAAAAUUAAAGGCCAGGCACGGUGGCUCAUGCCUGUAAUCCCAGCACUUUGGGAGGCCGAGGCGAGCGGAUCACAAGGUCAAGAGAUCAAGACCAUCCUGGCCAACAUGGUGAAACCCCAUCUCAACUAAAAAUAUAAAAAUUAGCUGGGCGUGGUGGUGUGCGGCCUGUAGUCCCAGAUACUCGGGAGGCUGAGGCAGGAGAAUCGCUUGAACCUGGGAGGUGGAGGUUGCAGUGAGCUGUGAUCACGCCACUACACUCCAGCCUGGUGACAAAGUGAGACUCCUACUCAAAAAAUAAAUAAAUAAAUAAAAUAAAAAUUUAAAAAAAAAGGAAACAGCUAAGAAUGACAGUUUAAAAUAUUAAGACAAUAAAGUCCCUGCUUUUUCUAUUUUAUAAUUUCUUUCUCUCUUUAGUAAAAUAAUUGCAGUUUUCUUACUAUACCAUUGAGAUAAAACAUUUUUAAAUUAUUGAAUUAAAUUGGCUUUAGAGUAAAACAAAAAUUGACUCAAAAAACAAUUACUGUGUGUGUACUGUGCUCAGAAAUGUGACCAGCAAUGUAAACCGACAGAACCAAUGGCUUUUUAGAAAAUAACAAAGUAUUUCCGAUCCUUUUUUAAGUAGAGAAUUUUCUCCCAGCACAUCCUAUUUCCAAUUGUGUGCAAAAAACCUUCCAGCUUACAAAUGUUAAUUCAGGGGUUGGCAAAUAAAGGCCCAGAGGCCAAAUCUGGCCCACCACCUGCUCAGUCUGCAAGCUAAGGAUGUUUUCUUACAUUUUUAAAUGGUUGGGGAGAAAUAGAAAGAGUAUUUUUGAAUAUGUGAAAAUUACAUGAAAAAUCAGUGUUCAGUGUCAAUGUUUCUUUGGUAUACAGCCACACCCAUUCAUUCACGUAUUGUACACGGGGCCUUUCAGGCUACAAUGGCAGAGUUGAGUUGCCACGAUAAGCAUGUGAGGUAAUGCAUAUGUUAAUUUGCUCCAUUUAGCCACUCCACAAUAUAUACGUAUUUCAAAAAAUCAUGUUGUACAUGAUAUAUAUAAUUUUUAUUUGCCAAUUUAAAAUAAUUUUUUUAAAGAAGCAGCUACCACAGAGACCAUAAGUAGCACUCUCUUUACACACUACAAAUUGUCAUGAGGCAGUUGUGACUCACUUUUGUCUCCUGCCUGGAAAGCCUAAAUAUUUACAAUGUGAGCUUUUAGAGAAAAAUGUUCUUCAAACCUGGAAUAAUUAAUAUAGUUAUUCAUCAUUCCUUGAAGAACUUAGUAUAAUGGCAGUCUCUAUGAGUCAGAGCUAUCAAGUAAUUACUAGAUUUCUUGAAUCUUAUCAUGAUAUUAGUGUUUCUUUUUGUCAAGUCUCAUAUAUUUAUAUUAUGUAUUAAUUUUUAAAAAUACAUUAUCUGGGCCAGCUGUAGUGGCUCAUGUCUGUCAUCCUAGCCCUCUGGGAGGCCAAGGUAGGAGAAUCACUUGAGCCCAGGACUUCAAGACCAGCCUGGGCAACAUAGCAAGACCUUGUCUCUACAAAAGUAAAGCAAAAUAUUAGCAAGGCAUGGUGGCACACACUUGUAGUCCCAGCUGGGCAGGGGAAUCACUUAAGCCUAGGAGUUCAAGGCUGCAGUGAGCUAUGAUCACAUGACUGCACUCUAGCCUGGGUGACAGAGCAAGAUCCUGUCUUUAAAAAUAAUUUUUUAAUGAAAUGAAAUAAAAUAUAAAAACAUUUAUCAAAGUGUGCUCCACAAAACGGAAAAGGGAUACUGUUUUCUCACAUUCCUUCAAUCCGUCAAAAAUUAAAGACCUCCUGCAUACAAUGAAGGUUGCUAGGAAUUCAAAAUAAAUAAGAUGUAAUUCCUGGCUCCACGUAAUUGCAUUCUAGUAGAGAGACACAGUAUUCCAGUAGAUUGUUGUCACUAAAGGAAAAGCCAAAGCAAUGACAGUAACCUUUGCCAUUUCAUAAUGUCAUACAGACAUUUAAAAAAUAUCACCUCUGUCUGCAUUAAUGGCAAGUUAUACACUUAAAUAGAUAAAGCAACAAGGCUUGACAAACACAUUUAUCCAUCAAUACUUUCAAGCAAAGCAUUAGCCUUACAUAAGCAAUUAACCUUGACCAACACGGGUAUAAACAAAAAUGCUGAUUAAGAACUUACUAAUUAUCCUUCCCAACUUCAGAAGUUUAGCUGGCAUCUGGUUUUUAACUAUGAUAAAUAUACACCAACUCAUCAUAGGUUAUUAACACAUAAGUGAAAAGAAAUAUUUAACCAAAUGGCUACGAAUGAAGAACAC
rnacentral:lncRNA from 10 species